rnacentral:rRNA from 1 species
AUGGCGUACGCGUCGCCGUACGUGCUCUCGUUCCUGCUGCUGCUGUCCAUGCCGGCGGUCUACUACCUCGGGCCGCGCCUGCUGCUGCCCAAGACGCUCCCGGCCAUCCCGGACGCCGACGAGACGGAGGACCUCGCGCUCUUCCGCCGCGCCGUGCUCCUCUCGUCCGCGCCCGCCGCCGGCUCCGGCGCGGCGCCCUCCUCCUUCGGCGUGUUCGGCCGCCGCCCGCAGGCGCGGCCCAAGGUGGCCUUCCUCUUCCUCACCAACUCCGACCUCGUCUUCGCGCCGCUCUGGGAGAAGUUCUUCGCGGGGCACCACGGCCUGCUCAACCUCUACGUCCACGCCGACCCCGCCGCCAACCUCACGCUGCCCCCGACCCCGUCCUUCCGCGGCCGCAUCAUCCGGGGCAAGGCCACGGCGCGCGCCUCCGCCACGCUCAUCUCCGCCGCGCGCCGCCUCCUCGCCACCGCGCUGCUCGACGACCCGGCCAACCAGUUCUUCGCGCUGCUCUCCCAGUCCUGCGUCCCGCUCCUCCCCUUCCCCGCCCUCUACCGCACCCUCCUCACCGACAACAAUGCCGGCCGCCACCGCCGCCACCGCAGCUUCAUCGAGAUCCUGGACAGCGAGCCCACGCUGCACGCCCGCUACUACGCGCGCGGCGACAACGUGAUGCUCCCGGAGGUGCCCUUCGACCGCUUCCGCGUCGGCUCCCAGUUCUUCGUGCUCGCCAGGCGCCACGCCGUCAUGGUGGUCAGGGACAGGAGGCUCUGGAACAAGUUCAAGGCGCCGUGCCUCGUCAAGGAGAAGGACUCGUGCUACCCGGAGGAGCACUACUUCCCGACGCUGCUCGACAUGCAGGACCCCGACGGCUGCACCAAGUACACCCUCACCAGGGUCAACUGGACCGACGCCGUCGGCGGCCACCCGCACACCUACCAGCCGGAGGAGGUCUCCGGGGACCUCAUCAGGGAGCUCAGGAAGUCCAACGGGACCUACUCCCACAUGUUCGCGCGCAAGUUCGCGCCGGAGACCCUUGCGCCGCUCAUGGAGAUCGCCGACUCCGUCAUCCUCCGUGACUAG